GUCCUCUUGAUUAUAUUUUGAGGUCUAGCCUGCUCACUGACAAGGUUUUAAAGAGCCGCGGUAUUUUGACCGUGCAAAGGUAGCAUAAUCAUUAGUCUCUUAAUUAGGGGCUGGAAUGAAUGGCUUGACGAGAAAUCAGCUGUCUCUUAUUAAAUUCUAGAAUUUAACUUUUGAGUCAAAAGGCUUAAAUUUUUCUUAAAGACGAGAAGACCCUAUAGAGCUUGACAUUUUAUUUUUAUAUAAUUUUUGGUAAGUUUUUUUAUAUAGAAAGAUAAUGUUUUGUUGGGGUGACAUGAAGAAUAGAUAAACUCUUCAUUAUUAAAUCAUUGAUUUAUGUUUAUAUGAUCCAUAAUUUAUGAUCAUAAGAUUUAGUUACCUUAGGGAUAACAGCGUAAUUGUUUUUGAGAGCUCAUAUCGACAAAGCAGAUUGCGACCUCGAUGUUGGAUUAAGAAUAAUUUUGGGUGCAGUAGCCCAUAAAUUAGGUCUGUUCGACCUUUAAAUUCUU
rnacentral:rRNA from 1 species